rnacentral:rRNA from 1 species
GCCCCGGUAAACGGCGGCCGUAACUAUAACGGUCCUAAGGUAGCGAAAUUCCUUGUCGGGUAAGUUCCGACCUGCACGAAUGGCGUAAUGAUGGCCAGGCUGUCUCCACCCGAGACUCAGUGAAAUUGAACUCGCUGUGAAGAUGCAGUGUACCCGCGGCAAGACGGAAAGACCCCGUGAACCUUUACUAUAGCUUGACACUGAACAUUGAGCCUUGAUGUGUAGGAUAGGUGGGAGGCUUUGAAGUGUGGACGCCAGUCUGCAUGGAGCCGACCUUGAAAUACCACCCUUUAAUGUUUGAUGUUCUAACGUGGGCCCCUAAUCGGGGUUGCGGACAGUGUCUGGUGGGUAGUUUGACUGGGGCGGUCUCCUCCUAAAGAGUAACGGAGGAGCACGAAGGUUGGCUAAUCCUGGUCGGACAUCAGGAGGUUAGUGCAAUGGCAUAAGCCAGCUUGACUGCGAGCGUGACGGCGCGAGCAGGUGCGAAAGCAGGUCAUAGUGAUCCGGUGGUUCUGAAUGGAAGGGCCAUCGCUCAACGGAUAAAAGGUACUCCGGGGAUAACAGGCUGAUACCGCCCAAGAGUUCAUAUCGACGGCGGUGUUUGGCACCUCGAUGUCGGCUCAUCACAUCCUGGGGCUGAAGUAGGUCCCAAGGGUAUGGCUGUUCGCCAUUUAAAGUGGUACGCGAGCUGGGUUUAGAACGUCGUGAGACAGUUCGGUCCCUAUCUGCCGUGGGCGCUGGAGAACUGAGGGGGGCUGCUCCUAGUACGAGAGGACCGGAGUGGACGCAUCACUGGUGUUCGGGUUGUCAUGCCAAUGGCACUGCCCGGUAGCUAAAUGCGGAAGAGAUAAGUGCUGAAAGCAUCUAAGCACGAAACUUGCCCCGAGAUGAGUUCUCCCUGACUCCUUGAGGGUCCUGAAGGAACGUUGAAGACGACGACGUUGAUAGGCCGGGUGUGUAAGCGCAGCGAUGCGUUGAGCUAACCGGUACUAAUGAACCGUGAGGCUUAACCUUACAACGCCGAAG